rnacentral:rRNA from 1 species
GACGGGUCGAGCAGAGACGAAAGUCGGCCAUAGUGAUCCGGUGGUUCCGUGUGGAAGGGCCAUCGCUCAACGGAUAAAAGGUACGCCGGGGAUAACAGGCUAAUGAUUCCCAAGAGUCCAUAUUUACGGAAUUGUUUGGCACCUCGAUGUCGACUCAUCACAUCCUAGAACUGUACAAUGCUCUAAGGGUUAGGCUGUUCGCCUAUUAAAGUGGUACGUGAGUUGGGUUCAAAACGUCGUGAGACAGUUUGGUCCCUAUCUUUCGUGGGCGUAGGAUAUUUGAGAGGAUCUGUUCCUAGUACGAGAUGACCGGAACGGACGAACCAAUGGUGUUCCAGUUGUCGCGCCAGCGGCAUUGCUGGGUAGCUAAGUUCGGAAUGGAUAACCGCUGAAAGCAUCUAAGCGGGAAGCCAACCUCGAGAUUAGAUAUCCCUUUCGAUGGAAACAUCGAAACUGAAGACCCCUUGAAGACUACAAGGUUGAUAGGCCAGGUGUGUAAGCAUAGCAAUAUGUUUAGCUAACUGGUACUAAUCGGUCGUGAGGCUUGGCCAC